rnacentral:lncRNA from 1 species
UUGAUGUGGAUGAGGAUGAGGAAAGCGAUGCAGAUGAGGAGGAGACGGAGACUUCAAGGCGGAUUAAUGGGCCCAACCAGAAUGGUUUUAGAGUAGCAGCUGUGGAGGAAAGAGAUGGUGGAGAUGAGGAGGAGGAGGGCGAUGAGGAGGAAAAUGAAUCUGGUGAGGAAAUUGAUGAGGAGGGAGAUGAAGAUGAUGAUGUGGUGGAGGUCCAUGAGAUUGACGAUAGUGAGGAUGAGGAGGAUGGAGUUGAAGAUGAGGAUGAUGAUGAUGAAGAUGAUGAUGACGACGAGGAGGAUGAGGAAGAGGAGGUGGACAAUGAUGAGGCAGAAUUUGCAGAGCCAGAGAGUACAGGAAGGUUAACAAGCACAGAAGGGGAGAUUGAUGGCCAUGAUCAAGGAGAGGAUGAGGUAGAAGAGGAUGAUAACGGGGAGACUGGAGAAGAGGAACAGGGUGUUGACGAUGAUGGGGAAUUUGACGAUGAAGAAGAGGGUGAGGAAGAGGUAAGAUACUCUAGGAUGUAAUUUGAUCCUUCAUUUUAGUUUCUUUUGCUAUAAAUGUGUGGUUUAGUUGAAUUAACUGUUCGAUAGCUAUUCUUCCUCAGAAUUAUGGAAGGAGGGGUGGGGGGUGCAUAGCUACUGUUACUGUUCCAUUCUCAUCUUAUUCACUGCUUACUUGAUUUCUUGCAUUUUGGUCUGAAUUUUGACUGAUAUUGCCAGCUGGUUUCUUGCAUUUUCUUCUAUAUGAAAUUUUACUCGUUUUUUAAUAUUGUGUUUACAUGAUGUAGACAUUCUUUGUGCCAUUUUGUUAGUAAACAGAGAUUGUUUUUCCUUUUACUGGGAUUGCUGUCAUGGUCAAUUUGUUAAGUGGCCACUAUAAAAAAUUGUAACCUGCAGUUUUUAAUGCAAAAACAGGCGCGACCAUAUAGCAUGUGUAGGAGACUGGAGAAUUAAAUAUUACCUUUUGGAUUCAAUGAUUUCCUUCCCCCCACCAAAGCAUUUCUGUACUGUUGAGAAUGAUGUGGAAAUGGGGGGUGGGAGGAGGGGGGAAGAGGAGAGGAAAAUUUCAUAUUUCAUUAGUAACCAUGAUGUAGUAAGUAAAAUAUUGGGAGCUGGCUUGUAAUCUGCUGUAAUUUAUCAACUUUCUUAUAUCUUGUGGUUUUCUAAUAUGCUGUUAUAGAAAAGAUAUGCUAGACAAUGAAUGUGCUGUUUGGUUGCAGUACAGUUGCCCUUUUUAUGCAACAUAUUGUGCAAUUUACCUUUACUGUGCAUAACAAGUGUAGCAAGUUAGUCUUUGAACUAUUUCAAGAACUUAAUUACAUUUGAAGUUGUUUUAGUUUCCGUUUCAAUAGCUAGUGGAUAGCUUGGCAGGGUACUGUUCAUGCCUAUAUUUGUUUCUCGUCCCCUGCUUUUUUAUGAGAGGCCUUUUUUCUUAAAAAAAAAUGCAUGUUUUUAGCUGAGUGGCCUCUGCAUCUCUUUUGUUUUGUUGUUAAAUGUUUCAUAUGUCCAUAUUUAUGUGUUGAAGUGCAAUUUCUGUAUGUAAUUUCUUGUUUAAUGGAGUUGUUUUUAUUUAUUGGUAUAUAUUUUAACAGUGUAUCUAUUGCCUGUUCAGAUAUGCCUUGUUGAUGUUAGCCAUGUUUUCUGCAUUUUGAUCAAUUAACAUGACUUGACUGUUUAGUAAUAAUUUAUUACUUGAUGGGUACUUUGCUUCUUGGUUAAUCUCCUUUUUGUUGUUUCCCUCCCCUUUUUAAUGAAAAUGUUUGGCUUUUGUGAGAUUUGUUAAAACUUUUGUGCAUGGGUGUCUAUUUUAUUUUCUGUGAUUCACAUACUGCUGAUAAUAUAUUUUUGUGAGACGCCUAACUGAUAUGGAUUUCUCUCUGCAAUGGCAGGAUGAAGAAGAUUCUGGUGCAGGAUAUUUGGUUCAACCAGUGGGGCAGGCUGAAGUGCAUGAUGCUGGAGGUAGUGACAUGGAGCUAGGAAAUGAAGAAGAUGAUCAUGAAGGGGAGGA